rnacentral:snRNA from 1 species
UUACUCUGGUUUCUCUUCAAAAUGCACAAGCCUUUCGCCUUUUACUAAAAACUUCCGUGGAGAGGAACACCAAUGAGUUGAACCGUCCUCUAAUAUCUGAUAUGUCCUCUAUAAGGGACAA